UGGGUGCUAGAAACUGUCACUCCAGGAGGA
rnacentral:piRNA from 1 species